AGAUCCAUCUCCAUCCUCUGUGCACACUGUCUCCUCUGUGUCUGCUACAACCUCAGCUCUACCUGAUCAUCUCCAACAUCUGACCCAUCCUCUGUGCACACUGUCUCCUCUGUGUCUGCUACAACCUCAGCUCUACCUGAUCAUCUCCAACAUCUGACCCAUCCUCUGUGCACACUGUCUCCUCUGUGUCUGCUACAAC